AAACAAAUUGGUUUGCAUUGACCAUCAUCAUGACCAUGGUCUGGAUCCUCUUUUGCCUUGUGCUGCUUGGUUGUUGCUCAGGCUAUACUCCCCAGUGGAAUCUGACUCAACCAAUGUCAAUGUCAGCAUCCCAGGGAAAAACAGUCCACAUCUCCUGCACCAUCAGCAAAGGCCACGUCCUUGGAGCUUUUCACUGGUAUCAGCUCAAAGAAGGAGAAAGACCAAGAUUCCUCUUGAGAUAUUUGGGACACACCGGGACAUCAAUUUUUGGCCCCGAGGCCUCUGGCCAUUUCUCAGCGUACAUGGAGGACAGCGAUGAUGUAGGGUACUUAACCAUCACCAGUGCGCAGGCAGAGGAUGAAGCUGAUUAUUUCUGUGCUACAGGGCAUCGUGGCCUUACACACAGUGAUGAAACCGAGUGGAGAACUUGCCCCCAAACCACUUCCUUUCAUUUCCUCUAG